UGUGUUCUUAAUUGAUUGUCCUAUUGGGGGUUGGUCCAAUACUAUUUAAGCUGGGGGUAAGGUGGCCUGGGCUUACAGGUCCCGCCCCCUAGCUUUCAUUGUAUGUCGUCACACCCAGAACAGAACCAGGAAGUCAGAGGUGAUUGUGUUGCAGUUCAGCAAGCCUGAUUUAAGUCAGCGGGUACGGGCAUUCACCUGUUGUGGAAGUGAUUGUUCCUCCCAACAAACUGGCAGUCUUCCUGUAGAACUGAUUGAGCUUUCAGCUUCCUGGAACCUGGCUUAAAUGCCCUUCUGGUGAGACUUGGUGCCACAUUGCACGGAGCCGGGUGCUUAUGGCAGCGGUGGGAUUCUAGUUUUUCCUAUUUGAGUGGUUGGAAUACGAGCACGUGUGUGUGUGUGUGUGUGUGUGGUGAGUCACUUGUGUGAUUGCAAGUUGCUGUGCUGUGUAGGCCGAUUGCGCCCUUAGGCCCCGCCGCCCGGCCUCGGUUCCUGAACUUGAGGCUCUGGA